GGGUUGUGAGGUUAAGUGACUAAGCGUACACGGUGGAUGCCUAGGCAGUCAGAGGCGAUGAAGGGCGUGCUAAUCUGCGAAAAGCGUCGGUAAGGUGAUAUGAACCGUUACAACCGGCGAUACCCGAAUGGGGAAACCCAGUGUGUUUCGACACACUAUCAUGUCAUGAAUACAUAGUGGCAUGAGGCGAACCGGGGGAACUGAAACAUCUAAGUACCCCGAGGAAAAGAAAUCAACCGAGAUUCCCCCAGUAGCGGCGAGCGAACGGGGAGGAGCCCAGAACCUGAAUCGGCUUGUGUGUUAGUGGAAGCGUCUGGAAAGUCGCGCAGCAAAGGGUGAUAGCCCCGUACACUAAAAUGCACAGGUCGUGAGUUCGAUGAGUAGGGCGGGACACGUGACAUCCUGUCUGAAUAUGGGGGGACCAUCCUCCAAGGCUAAAUACUCCUGACUGACCGAUAGUGAACCAGUACCGUGAGGAAAGGCGAAAAGAACCCCGGCGAGGGGAGUGAAAUAGAACCUGAAACCGUGUACGUACAAGCAGUGGGAGCACCUUCGUGGUGUGACUGCGUACCUUUUGUAUAAUGGGUCAGCGACUUAUAUUUUGUAGCAAGGUUAACCGUAUAGGGGAGCCGUAGGGAAACCGAGUCUUAACUGGGCGAAUAGUUGCAAGGUAUAGACCCGAAACCCGGUGAUCUAGCCAUGGGCAGGUUGAAGGUUGGGUAACACUAACUGGAGGACCGAACCGACUAAUGUUGAAAAAUUAGCGGAUGACUUGUGGCUGGGGGUGAAAGGCCAAUCAAACCGGGAGAUAGCUGGUUCUCCCCGAAAGCUAUUUAGGUAGCGCCUCGUGAACUCAUCUUCGGGGGUAGAGCACUGUUUCGGCUAGGGGGCCAUCCCGGCUUACCAAACCGAUGCAAACUCCGAAUACCGAAGAAUGUUAUCACGGGAGACACACGGCGGGUGCUAACGUCCGUCGUGAAGAGGAAACAACCCAGACCGCCAGCUAAGGUCCCAAAGUCAUGGUUAAGUGGGAAACGAUGUGGGAAGGCACAGACAGCCAGGAUGUUGGCUUAGAAGCAGCCAUCAUUUAAAGAAAGCGUAAUAGCUCACUGGUCGAGUCGGCCUGCGCGGAAGAUGUAACGGGGCUAAACCAUGCACCGAAGCUGCGGCAGCGACGCUUAGGCGUUGUUGGGUAGGGGAGCGUUCUGUAAGCCGUUGAAGGUGGCCUGUGAGGGUUGCUGGAGGUAUCAGAAGUGCGAAUGCUGACAUAAGUAACGAUAAAGCGGGUGAAAAGCCCGCUCGCCGGAAGACCAAGGGUUCCUGUCCAACGUUAAUCGGGGCAGGGUGAGUCGACCCCUAAGGCGAGGCUGAAAAGCGUAGUCGAUGGGAAACAGGUUAAUAUUCCUGUACUUGGUGUUACUGCGAAGGGGGGACGGAGAAGGCUAGGCUGGCCGGGCGACGGUUGUCCCGGUUUAAGCGUGUAGGGGGUGUGACCUGGUAAAUCCGGUUGCAUAUCAACCCUGAGGCGUGAUGACGAUGCACUACGGUGCAGAAGUAGUUGAUGCCCUGCUUCCAGGAAAAUCCUCUAAGCUCCAGGUAACAUUGAAUCGUACCCCAAACCGACACAGGUGGUCAGGUAGAGAAUACCAAGGCGCUUGAGAGAACUCGGGUGAAGGAACUAGGCAAAAUGGUGCCGUAACUUCGGGAGAAGGCACGCUGGCAUGUAGGUGAAGUCCCUUGCGGAUGGAGCUGAAGCCAGUCGAAGAUACCAGCUGGCUGCAACUGUUUAAUAAAAACACAGCACUGUGCAAACACGAAAGUGGACGUAUACGGUGUGACGCCUGCCCGGUGCUGGAAGGUUAAUUGAUGGGGUCAGCCGCAAGGCGAAGCUCUUGAUCGAAGCCCCAGUAAACGGCGGCCGUAACUAUAACGGUCCUAAGGUAGCGAAAUUCCUUGUCGGGUAAGUUCCGACCUGCACGAAUGGCGUAAUGAUGGCCAGGCUGUCUCCACCCGAGACUCAGUGAAAUUGAACUCGCUGUGAAGAUGCAGUGUACCCGCGGCAAGACGGAAAGACCCCGUGAACCUUUACUAUAGCUUGACACUGAACAUUGAGCCUUGAUGUGUAGGAUAGGUGGGAGGCUUUGAAGCGUGGACGCCAGUCUGCGUGGAGCCAUCCUUGAAAUACCACCCUUUAAUGUUUGAUGUUCUAACUCUGCCCCGUAAUCCGGGGUGAGGACAGUGUCUGGUGGGUAGUUUGACUGGGGCGGUCUCCUCCCAAAGAGUAACGGAGGAGCACGAAGGUUAGCUAAUCACGGUCGGACAUCGUGAGGUUAGUGCAAAGGCAUAAGCUAGCUUGACUGCGAGAGUGACGGCUCGAGCAGGUACGAAAGUAGGUCUUAGUGAUCCGGUGGUUCUGAAUGGAAGGGCCAUCGCUCAACGGAUAAAAGGUACUCCGGGGAUAACAGGCUGAUACCGCCCAAGAGUUCAUAUCGACGGCGGUGUUUGGCACCUCGAUGUCGGCUCAUCACAUCCUGGGGCUGAAGUAGGUCCCAAGGGUAUGGCUGUUCGCCAUUUAAAGUGGUACGCGAGCUGGGUUUAGAACGUCGUGAGACAGUUCGGUCCCUAUCUGCCGUGGGCGUUGGAAGAUUGAGAGGGUUGCUCCUAGUACGAGAGGACCGGAGUGAACGCACCACUGGUGUUCGGGUUGUCAUGCCAAUGGCAUUGCCCGGUAGCUAAGUGCGGAAAAGAUAAGCGCUGAAAGCAUCUAAGCGCGAAACUUGCCUCAAGAUGAGUCUUCCCUGGGCCUUUAAGGCCCCUGAAGGAACGUUUAAGACUAAGACGUUGAUAGGCUGGGUGUGUAAGUGCAGCGAUGCAUUGAGCUAACCAGUACUAAUGAUCCGUGAGGCUUAACCUUACAACACCGAAGGUGUUUUAG
rnacentral:rRNA from 1 species